GAUGAACGCUGGCGGCGUGCUUAACACAUGCAAGUCGAACGGAAAGGCCCAAGCUUGCUUGGGUACUCGAGUGGCGAACGGGUGAGUAACACGUGGGUGAUCUGCCCUGCACUUCGGGAUAAGCCUGGGAAACUGGGUCUAAUACCGGAUAGGACCACAUUUUGGAUGGUGUGGUGGAAAGUUUUUCGGUGUGGGAUGAGCUCGGGGCCUAUCAGCUUGGUGGUGGGGUAAUGGCCUACCAAGGCGUCGACGGGUAGCCGGCCUGAGAGGGUGUACGGCCACAUUGGGACUGAGAUACGGGCCAGACUCCUACGGGAGGCAGCAGUGGGGAAUAUUGGACAAUGGGCGCAAGCCUGAGGCAGCGACGCCGCGUGGGGGAUGACGGCCUUCGGGUUGUAAACUCCUGUCGCUAGGGACGAAGCGUUUUUGUGACGGUACCUGGAGAAGAAGCACCGGCUAACUACGUG
rnacentral:rRNA from 1 species